CACAUACUCAUUCCGUCUAACAAAGUAUGUCUCAAGUUUGUUAAAAUUUGGAUGUAUCUAGACAUGACUUAAUGUAUAGAUGCAUUUAAAUUUAAUCAAAGUUAGACAUUUUUUGUUUGACGGAGGAGUACAUU
rnacentral:pre_miRNA from 1 species